rnacentral:rRNA from 1 species
GACGAACGCUGGCGGCGUGCCUAAUACAUGCAAGUUGAGCGCUGAAGGUUGGUACUUGUACCAACUGGAUGAGCAGCGAACGGGUGAGUAACGCGUGGGGAAUCUGCCUUUGAGCGGGGGACAACAUUUGGAAACGAAUGCUAAUACCGCAUAAAAACUUUAAACACAAGUUUUAAGUUUGAAAGAUGCAAUUGCAUCACUCAAAGAUGAUCCCGCGUUGUAUUAGCUAGUUGGUGAGGUAAAGGCUCACCAAGGCGAUGAUACAUAGCCGACCUGAGAGGGUGAUCGGCCACAUUGGGACUGAGACACGGCCCAAACUCCUACGGGAGGCAGCAGUAGGGAAUCUUCGGCAAUGGACGAAAGUCUGACCAAGCAACGCCGCGUGAGUGAAGAAGGUUUUCAGAUCGUAAAACUCUGUUGGUAGAGAAGAACGUUGGUGAGAGUGGAAAGCUCAUCAAGUGACGGUAACUACCCAGAAAGGGACGGCUAACUACGUG